rnacentral:tRNA from 1 species
CCGAAGGCGCUCCCCUGCUAAGGGAGUACAUCUCAAAAGGGUGUCGGGGGUUCGAAUCCCCCCUUCUCCG